rnacentral:rRNA from 1 species
UACGUAGGGGCCGAGCGUUGUCCGGAGUUAUUGGGCGUAAAGCGCGCGCAGGCGGCUCGCGCGCCCGCCGUGAAAGCCCCCGGCUUAACCGGGGAGAGUCGGUGGGGACGGCGGAGCUUGAGGGCGGGAGAGGUCGGUGGAAUUCCCGGUGUAGUGGUGAAAUGCGUAGAUAUCGGGGAGGAACACCAGUGGCGAAGGCGACUACCUGGCCUGUUCUUGACGCUGAGGCGCGAAAGCUAGGGGAGCAAACGGG